rnacentral:rRNA from 1 species
CCUGGAGAUGACGGGGUUGAUAGGCCGGAUCUGGAAGCCCUGUGAGGGGUGGAGGUGACCGGUACUAAUAGGCCGAGGGCUUGUCCAU